CCCUUAGAUGUUCUGGGCUGCACGCGCGCUACACUGAUGCGCUCAACGAGUUUAUGACCUUGCCUGGAAAGGUUGGGUAAUCUUCUUAAAACGCAUCGUGAUGGGGAUAGAUUAUUGCAAUUAUUAAUCUUCAACGAGGAAUUCCUAGUAAGCGCGAGUCAUCAGCUCGUGCUGAUUACGUCCCUGCCCUUUGUACACACCGCCCGUCGCUCCCACCGAUUGAGUGAUCCGGUGAAUAAUUCGGACUGCAGCAGUGUUCAGUUCCUGAACGUUGCAGUGGAAAGUUUAGUGAACCUUAUCACUUAGAGGAAGGAGAAGUCGUAACA
rnacentral:rRNA from 1 species